rnacentral:lncRNA from 1 species
GUCUGUUUCUCUCUCUCUCUCUCUCUCUCUCUCUCUCUCUCUCUCUCUCUCUCUCUCGGGUCAGUAGAGGGGUUAGAUCAGUGGUCACCAACCGGUCAAUCGUGAUCGGUCAGUCGUGAUCGAUCUCCAAGGCAUCUCUAGUCGAUCUCCAAAUAUUUCUGUAAAAAACCCAACUCUAAAGCAUUGCGUUCCUAUAAUUUUUUUUAUUCCUCUUGUGCAGUUGGCGGUAGGUGCACCCGAUUCAGCUGCCCUGCGUGCCAGGUAGCCAAAGUGUUCAGAUUUUGAACCGUUUCAUGUGUCUGAAGGGACAAACUCUGCCUUCCCCACGGGCCCGGAGAGCAAAUCAAGUGCACUAUAGGCCUAACGCUGACCAAUCGGAUGGCUCAGAUGGCCGUGUCUGCACUAACGUAGCAGGAACAAAAGGAAGCUACAGCAAAGUUGUGGGAUGUAAAAAUGUUUAAAACCAUGAAUAGAUAGAUAUUGUUUACGAAUACAGCAAAGAGAUGCUGUUUUUAUGAGUGAGUUUAUGUUUAAGUUCUUACUCAGCACAUACAGUUGAAGUCGGAAGUUUACAUACACUUAGUUUGGAGUCAUUAAAACUCAUUUUUCAACCACUCCACAAAUGUCUUGUUAACAAACUAUAGUUUUGGCAAGUCGGUUAGGAUAUCUACUUUGUGCAUGACACAAGUAAUUUUUCCAACAAUUGUUUACAGACAGAUUAUUUCACUUAUAAUUCACUGUAUCACAAUUCCAGUGGGUCAGAAGUUUACAUACACUAAACUGACUGUGACUUUAAACAGCUUGGAAAAUUCCAGAAAAUUAUGUCAUGGCUUUAGAAGCUUCUGAUAGGCUAAUUGACAUCAUUUGAGUCAAUUGGAGGUGUACCUGUGGAUGUAUUUCAAGGCCUACCUUCAAACUCGGUGCAUCUUUGCUUGACAUCAUGGGAAAAUCAAAAGAAAUCAGCCAAGACCUCAGAAAAACAAGUGUAGACCUCCACAAGUCUGGUUCAUCCUUGGGAGCAAUUUCCAAACGCCUGAAGAACCACGUUCAUCUGUACAAACAAUAGUACGCAAGUAUAAACACCAUGGGACCACUCAGCCGUCAUACCGCUCAGGAAGGAGAUGCGUUCUGUCUCCUAGAGAUGAACGUACUUUGGUGUGAAAAGUGCAAAUCAAUCCCAGAACAACAGCAAAGGACCGUGUGAAGAUGCUGGAGGAAACAGGUAGAAAAGUAUCUAUAUCCACAGUAAAAAUGAGUCCUAUAUCGACAUAACCUGAAAGGCCGCUCAGCAAGGAAGAAGCCACUGCUACAAAACCGGCAUAAAAAAAGGCCGACUACAGUUUGCAACUGCACAUGGGGAUCGUACUUUUUGGAGAAAUGUCCUCUGGUCUGAUGAAACAAAAAUAGAACUGUAUGGCCAUAAUGACCAUCGUUAUGUUUGGAGGAAAAAGGGGGAUGCUUGCAAGCCGAAGAACACCUUCCCAACCGUGAUGCACGGGGAUGGCAGCAUCAUGUUGUGGGGGUGCUUUGCUGCAGGAAGGACUGGUGCACUUCACAAAAUAGAUGGCAUCAUGGGAAGGACAUAGAUGGCAUCAUGAGGCAGGAAAAUGAUGUAGAUAUAUUGAAGCAACAUCUCAAGACAUCAGUAAGUUAAAGCUUGGUCGCAAAUGGGUCUUCCAAAUGGACAAUGACUCCAAGCAUACUUCCAAAGUUGUGGCAAAAUGUAUUUAAGACAACAAAGUCAAGGUAUUGGAGUGGGCAUCAGAAAGCCCUGACCUCAAACGUAUCGAAAAUUUGUGGGCAGAACUAAAAAAUCGUGUGUGAGCAAGGAGACCUACAAACCUGACUCAGUUACAGCAGCUCUGUCAGGAGGAAUGUGCCAAAAUUCACCCAACUUAUUGUGGGAAGGCUACCCGAAAGGUUUGACCCAAGUUAAACAAUUUAAAGGCAAUGCUACCAAAUACUUAUUCUGUGUAAACUUCUGACCCACUGGGAAUGUGAUGAAAGAAAUAAAAGCUGAAAUAAAUCAUUCUCUCUACUAUUAUUCUGACAUUUCACAUUCUUAAAAUAAAGUUGUGAUCCUAACUGACCUAAGGAAAGGAUUUUUACUAGGAUUAAAUGUCAGGAAUUGUGAAAAACUGAGUUGAAAUGUAUUUGGCUAAGGUGAAUGUACACUUCUGACUUAAACUGUAAAUCGUACUUGCACUUGUGCUACAACCAGCACUGCAGCUGCAAUGAAUGAGUAGGAAAGUGUAUCGAUAGGCUUGUGUUGUUGUUAUUAGCAGCUUGGGUCUUUUCAAUAUCAAGGAAUGUUUCACUUUCUCUGGUCAUAGUAGUAACAACAUGAAGUUCUGUAUGAGACAGAAAUAAUCAAAUCAAACUUUAUUUGCCACAUGCGCCGAAUACAACAAGUGUAGACUUUACCGUGAAAUGCUUACUUACAAGCCCUUAACCAACAGUGCAGUUCAAGAAGAAGAAAAUAUUUACAAAGUAGGCUAAAAUAAAAAGUAAUAACAAAAAGUAACACAAAAAGAAUAACAAUAACGACUGUUAUAUACACGGGGCACCGGUACCGAGUCAGUGUGCAGGGGAACAGGCUAGUUGAGGUAAUCUGUACAUGUAGGUGGGGGCGAAGUGACUAUGCAUAGGUAACAAACAAACAGCGAGUAGAAGCAGUGUACAAGAGGAGGAAGGGAGGUGGGUGGGGGUGUUGUCAAUGUAAAUUGUCCGGUGGCAAUUUUUAUGAAUUGUUCAGCAGUUUAAUGGCUUGGGGGUAGAAGUUGUUGCUGAGCCUUUUGGUCCUAGACUUGGCGCUCCGGUACUGCUUGCCGUGCGGUACCAGAGAAAACAGUCUAUAACUUGGGUGACUGGAGUCUCUGACAAUUUUAUGGGCUUUCCUCUGACACCGCCUAUUAUAUAGGUCCUGGAUGGCAGGAAGCUUGGACCCAGUGAUGUACUGGGCCGUUUGCACUACACUCUGUAGCGCCUUACGGUCAGAUGCUGAGCAGUUGCCAUACCAGCCGGUGAUGCUACCGGUCAGGAUGCUCUCAAUGGUGCAGCUGUAGAACCUUUUGAGGAUCUGGGGGCCCAGGCCAAAUCUUUUCUCCUGAGGGGGAAAAGGUUUUGUCAUGCCCUCUUCAUGACUGUCUUGAUAUGUUUGGACCAUGAUAGUUUGAUGGUGACGUGGACACCAAGGAACUUGAAACUCUCGACCCGCUCCACUACAGCCCCUUCGAUGUUAAUGGGGGCCUGUUCGGCCCGCCUUUUCCUGUAGUCCACGAUCAGCUACAGGUCUUGCUCACAUUGAGGGAGAGGUUGUUGUUCUGGCACCACACUACCAGUUCCCUGACCUCCUCCCUAUAGGCCGUCUCAUUGUUGUCGGUGAUCAGGCCUACCACUGUUGUGUCAUAAGCAAACUUAAUGAUGGUGAUGGAGUCGUGUUUGGCCACCCAGUCGUGGGUGAACAGGGAAUACAGGAGGGGACUAAGUACACACCCUGAGGGGCCCCAGUGGUAAGGAUGAGUGUGGCAGACGUGUUGUUGCCUACUCUUACCACCUGGGGUGGCCCGUCAGGAAGUCCAGGAUCCAGUUAGUCCCAGAGUCCUUAGCUUAGUGAUGAGCUUCAUGGGCACUAUGGUGUUGAAUGCUGAGCUGUAGUCGAUGAACAGCAUCCUCACAUAGGUGUUCCUUUUGUCCAGGUGAGAAGGGCAGUGUGGAGUGCGAUUGAGAUUGCAUCAUCUGUGGAUCUGUUGGGGCGGUAUGCGAAUUGGAGUGGGUCUAGGGUGUCCGGAUGCUGUUGAUGUGAGCCGUGACCAGCCUUUCAAAGCACUUCAUGGCUACCGAAGUGAGUGCCAUGGGGCGAUAAUCAUUUAGGCAGGUUACCUUCGCUUCCUUUGGCACAGAGACUAACUAUGGUGGUCUGCUUGACACAUGUAGGUAUUACAGACUCGGUCAGGAGAGGUUGGAAAUGUCAGUGAAGACACUUUACAGUUGGUUCGCGCAUGCUUUAAGUACACGUCCUGGUAAUCCGUCUGGCCAGUUUAAAGGUUUUGUUCAUAUCAGCUACCGAGAGCGUUAUCACACAGUGGUCCAGAACAGCUGGUGCUCUCGUGCAUGCUUCAGUGUUGCUUGCCUCGAAGCGAGCAUAAAAGGCAUUUAGCUCAUCUGGUAGGCUCGCGUCACUGGGCAGUUCGCGUCUGGGUUUCCCUUUGUAGUCCGUAAUAGUUUUCAAGCCCUGCCACAGCCGACGAGUGUGAUUAAAUUUUUAACAUUGUAUUGACGCUUUGCUUGUUUGAUGGUUUGUCUGAGGGCAUAGCGGGAUUUCUUAUAAGCGUCCGGAUUAGUCUCCCGCUCCUUGAAAGCGACAGCUCAAGCCUUUAGCUCGAUGUGGAUGUUGCCUGUAAUCCAUGGCUUCUGGUUGGGAUAUGUACGUACAGUCGCUGUGGGCACGACGUCAUCGAUUCACUUAUUGAUGAAGCCGGUGACUGAGGUGGUGUAUUCCUCAAUGCCAUUGGAUGAAUCCCGGAACAUAUUCCAGUCUGUGCUAGCAAAACCGUCCUGUAGUGUAGCAUCUGCAUCAUCUGACCACCUCCGUAUUGAGCGAGUCACUGGUACUUCCUGCUUUAGUUUUUGCUUGUAAGCGGGAAUCAGGAGGAUAGAAUUGUCGUCAGAUUCGCCAAAUGGAGGGCGGGGGAGAGCUUUGUAUUCAUCUCUGUGUGUGGAGUAAAGGUGGUCUAGGAUUUUGUUUUUCCUGGUUGCACAUGUAACAUGCUGGUAAAAAUUUUUGUAAAACUGAUUUAACUUUGCCUGCAUUAAAGUCUCUGGCCACUAGGAGCGCUGCUUCUGGGUGAGCAUUUUCUUCUUUCCUUAUGGCCUUAUAGAGUUUGUUGAGAGCUUUCUUAGUGGCAGCUUCACUUUGUGGCGGUAAAUAGACAGCUACGAAUAAUAUAGAUGAGAACUCUCUUGGUAGAUAGUGUGGUCUACAGCUUAUCAUAAGGUACUCUACCUCAGGCGAGCAAUACCUUGAGACUUCUUUAAUAUUAGGCAUCGCGCAGCAGCUGUUAUUGACAAAAAGACACACACACCCACCCCUCAUCUAACCAGAGGUAGCGUCUCUGUUCUGCAUGGGAAAAUCCUGCCAGCUCUAUAUUGUCCGUUUCUUUGUUCAGCCACGUCUCGGUGGAACAUAAAAUGUUACAGUUUUUAAUGUCCCGUUGGUAGGAAAGUCUUAAUAGUAGGUCAUCAAUUUUAUUUUCUAACAAUUGCACGUUAGCAAGGAGAAUGGAAGGCAUUGGGAGUUUACUCGUUCGCCUCUGGCUUCUCAGAAGGAUCCCCAAUCUGGUUCCCCUUUUCCAGCGUCUUUUCUUCACGUAAAAGGCGUGGAUCUGGGCCUGUUCCAGUGAAAGCAGGAUAUCCUUCUCAUUGGACUCGUUAAAGGAAAAAGUUUCUUCCAGUCCGUGGUGAGUUAUCGCUUUUCUGAUGUCCAGAAGUUAUUUUCAGUCAUAAGAGACGGUAGCAGCAACAUUAUGUACACAAUAAGUAAAAAAAUUAGUUACGCAAAAAAAAAUAACAAAAUUGCACAAUUGGUUGGGAGAAUGUAAAACGUCAGCCAUGUUCUUCGGCGCUAUCUUUAUGUUUAAAUAAUGCAGUGCGACUCAAGUUUCGCCAUCAGCUGGAAGACGGUGUCCCUUUUUGGUCAGUGUCAACAGACGAAAAGGGAGAGCGGAGUGACUUUGAGAGGCAGACCGUCAGUCUGCUGCUCUCUCCCUCCACUAAGACUGACCAUCAGAUGCAGGCACCAUCAGCCCAGUAAAAUAAAUAAAAUUAAAAAUGAUUUAAAUGUAUGCUCACUCAGCUGUAAAUGUAUGCUCACAAGUAAUACAACAAUUGAUCUAUAACCGGUGUGAUCACAUAGCCUACCUCAAAUUUUGAAAUAUAAAUAUAUUUUAAUGGUCCAAACAAAAAUGCAUUGGCAUGGCAAUUAAAGUAAAGCCAAUAUGCAGUGAUAAUGUAUUGGACCUAUAGCCUACUGCACAAACCUCAUUGCUACAGUACUGUUUUCAAUAUCUUAAUGUUGCAUAGGAUUAAGUUUUUUUCAGUCAUGUAAAACAAAUCUGAGCGGUACAUCUCGGCUUGUAUUUUGACUCAGGAAGUGAUCUUGACCUAGGAAAGGUUAGUGACCACUUUGUUAGAUGAUAUGCACAUGCUUUUCUGGGCUAAGGACUCAAAGGGUGUACCCCCUCAGGCCUCAGUGUCUACUGACUUUCAUUCUUGCCCCUUAAUCUGGGCAGCCAGGUGUGUUGGACACUUACGCAAUAAGGCCUGAGGAGGUGUGGUAUAUGGCCAGUUUAUAAUGGUUAAUAAGUACUGAGAAAUGAUCAAUAUCAGGGAGAGUACCAGGAAGAGACGACAAAUAGCUUGACUGUGACCCUGAAGGACAGCAGUUUUUCCACCACUGGUCUAAGCAACUCCUGCCGCUCCUCCCUUGUAGCUUUGUUGGUAGAGCAUGGAUCUUACAAAGCCAGGGUUGUGGGUUCGAUUCCCAAGGGGGACCAGUAUGGAAAAUGUAUGUCGCUCUGGAUAAGAGCGUCUGCAAAAUGACGUAAAUGUAAAUGUCUGUCAUCAAAGCAGAGAAAGAUAAGAUUAGGCAAGAUGGCAUCUAGCAAGCUGAACAGUACGUGUCUGUUUUGUUGGCACUUCUGUACUUGAAUCCAUUUUAUUUGCGAUAAUUGAGCAUUUUAUCAAUGCGCUGCAAAGUGCACAAUUUUGAAAGGGAUUGUUGAUUGCGGCUAAAAUGACUGCAGGAGCGGUAAUGAUGCUAUGACUAUGGGGACUAGUGAGAGAUUGGUAUGACUACAGGGACUGGAGAGAGAGUGGUGUGACUACAGGGACUAGUGAGAGAGUGGUAUGACUACAGGGAGAGAGAGUCAUAUGACUACAGGGAGAGAUAGUCGUAUGACUACAGGGAGAGAUAGUGGUAUGACUACAGGGACUGGAGAGAGAGUGGUGUGACUACAGGGACUAGUGAGAGAGUGGUAUGACUACGGAGACUGGAGAGAGAGUGCUAUGUUACAGGGACUAGUGAGAGAGUGGUAUGACUAUGGGGACUGGAGAGAGAGUGGUAUGACUACGGGGACUGGAGAGAGAGUGGUAUGACUACGGGGACUGGAGAGAGAGUGGUAUGACUAUGGGGACUGGAGAGAGAGUGGUAUGACUACGGGGACUGGAGAGAGAGUGGUAUGACUACGGGGACUGGAGAGAGAGUGGUAUGACUACGGGGACUGGAGAGAGAGUGGUAGAACUACGGGGACUGGAGAGAGUGGUAUGACUACGGUGACUAGUGAGAGAGUGGUAUGACAAUGGGGACUGGAGAAAGAGUGGUAUGACUACAGGGAAAGAGAGUCAUAUGACUACAGGGAGAGAUAGUGGUAUGACUACAGGGACUGGAGAGAGAGUGGUAUGACUACGGGGAGAGAGUGUCAUAUGACUACAGGGAGAGAUAGUGGUAUGACUACAGGGACUGGAGAGAGAGUGGUGUGACUACAGGGACUAGUGAGAGAGUGGUAUGACUACGGGGACUGGAGAGAGAGUGCUAUGUUACAGGGACUAGUGAGAGAGUGGUAUGACUACG